GUUCACUUUGAUGGCAGUAUAUUAAAAUUAAAAUGACACAGAGAAGAUUGGUAUAACCCCAUUACAAGAAUGACAUGCACAUUCAUAACACAUUUCAUAUUUUC
ensembl:snRNA U6 U6 spliceosomal RNA